GAAGGAAAAGGAUCCCGAGAGUUGCUCCGAGGCAGCCGCUGGCGGGGUCCCCUGCCUAGCCCACCCGGGGAGGGUCGGGAAUGCGAGAGCGAGGGGCCGGGAGGGAGGAGGAGAAGGGAAGGGAGGGAGGAGGAGCUCCCGCUGCAAAUUGACACCCCCCCCAGCCAGCGGUGGAGGAGCGGGAGGGUUACGCCCCCCCCCCAAGUGACGGCAAGUACACCCACCCACCCGCUUCACACGCCCCCGCGCGAUCACUUUCGCCCAGGGACCCCCCAGCUCGGCUUCGCUCGGGUUACCCUGACCCGCUCCUACAAACGCAUGUCCUCCUUCCCUCCCCUCAAAAAAAUUAUUUUUUUAAAAGGUUUUUGAACUACUAUAGAGGGGUUUCAGGGGACGUGCAAAAUAAAGUGGGGUUCCAAAAAAAAGGGGGGAGGGAAUUGGAGCCCCCUGUGUUUUUGUAAACGCCCCUCUUCCCGCAAGGGGAAAAAGCCGCCCCCUUACAAAAAACAUAUAUGAUGAAGCCUCUUCUCUGCUGAGUAUUUAAAUGAGCCAUAACCAGGCGACUUUAGUUAAAAAGGGGGGGGGGGUUGUUUGCAGCCCCAUCCCGGGCUCGGUUGGUUUCAGAAGUAAGGCGCAAUCCUAAACACGCGUUACUCCCAUUUAGUUUAGAGAGGUUUGCAGCACGAUCCUGACCGUGCUUACUCAGAAGUAAAUCCUAUGGAAUUAAAUGGGAUUUUACUCCCUUGUCAGUAAGGGUUAAGUUUGCAGCUCUGCUUCCCAGUAAAGGGAGGGGCUUUUGUUCUGCAAGUCCCACUAUGGCUUUCAGUGGGACUUACUCCGAGCUAAGUUUGCAUAGGAUAGGUGCUUGGCAGCCUGAUCAUCUGCAUGUUUCUACAAGACUUGGAAGUCUCAAUGUGAGGCUUCCUUGCCAAGUACAUGUGCUCUGAAUUGCAGACAUAAUCCUGCAAUGUAUCUGGCAGUACUGUACUUAUACCUGAAACUCUCAAGCGUGUUACUCACUUCACAGGGGAAGGUGGUAGGGACUCAGUCUGCUGGCCUUUGUGCAUCUUGCAUGUGCAUUAAAAUCAAGAAAAUAUAUCCAACCUUUUACUUUACUUGUGGGAGUGGGCUGAAACUAACUAUAAUAAUUCUGCUGCAGGGUAUGUGUUGGAAACCAGAUUUUUAAAAGACAUUCCCCAAAGUCAAAACGAGCAGAGUUUUACAGGUGACAGAUACAAGAACAUGAGAUUCUUCCUCGAGCAUGCACAAAUGUUGUCUCCCGCUCCUUGCUCUCCAAACUCGCAUUAAAAAUAAUUAUUUCUUCCCUUGCUUUGAUUUAUCUCUUCAGCCUCUUAAAGGCUACUUAUGUGUUUGGUGCAAGCAACUGCCUCCUGCCAUACCUGCAUUGAUUAUUGAGACGUGGCCCAACUUUAAACCUCCAGCACCUAUGAUUUUAAUGGAUUUCCUCAGCUUUCUUGCUUCCCUUACGGUGGUUAUGGGGAACCUGUGGCUCUCCAGAUGUUGCUAAACUACAACUCCCAUCAGCCUCAGCAUGCAUGGCCAAUGGUCACUCGCCUCUUGGUCUCUUGACAGCCAUGUGUAUUAGCCUUAUGCUUAAUCAUCAAAGUUGAGGAAUUGUGUGUUUAGGCAUCUGAAGCUUUCUGAGGAUUAUGCCAUUUAGAAAAGAUGUACCACCCAAUCCUAUGCAUGAUUACUCAAAAGGAAAAGAACAAGACAGGAGUCCCAAAUCCCAGCUGUGCAGUGCAAGGAUCAGAGCGCUAAUAAUAUGACUGUAAUGAUACAUGAGGGAGUCUUUUCCUGGUCUCAGAGAGUUCAGCAUUCCUUCAGAGAAAGCAGCUCCUGAAUCCCAAACAUCAUGUACACCUCUGGCUGGCUGCAGCAGCUGCUUUGUUACAUGGACUGUUUUCUUAUUUGGGGUGCGUGGUAUUAAUUCAGUUUGGAGUCGCAGAUGAUUUUCCUGCUAAUGAAGAAACACUGCAUGCGGUCAUCAGGAAAGGUGAGGCCGCCUUUGCCAGAGGACCUCAGGCAGAAUACAGCCUGAUUAUUCAUGAAGACCUCUGUGCCUGCAAAUACCCUUCUUGCCUUCUCUCCAGCGGGCCUCUUUCACCCCAUCUCUUGUCAAUUGCAUUUUAUUUUUUAACAUGAACAAAAACAAAAUAAAU